rnacentral:rRNA from 1 species
UACGUAGGGGGCAAGCGUUGUCCGGAAUCAUUGGGCGUAAAGCGCGUGUAGGCGGCUUGCUAAGUCUGCUCUGAAAGCCCGGGGCUCAACCCCGGGAGGCGGGUGGAUACUGUCAAGCUCGAGUCCGGAAGAGGAGUGUGGAAUUCCCGGUGUAGCAGUGAAAUGCGUAGAGAUCGGGAGGAACACCAGUGGCGAAGGCGACUACCUGGACCAGCACUGACACUGAGGCACGAAAGCGUGGGGAGCAAACAGG